CGCCAGACUCCUACGGGAGGCAGCAGUGGGGAAUAUUGCACAAUGGGGGGAACCCUGAUGCAACGACGCCGCGUGGGCGAGGAAGUAUUUCGGUAUGUAAAGCUCUAUCAGCAGGGAAGAAAAUGACGGUACCUGACUAAGAAGCCCCGGCUAACUACGUGCCAGCAGCCGCGGUAAUACGUAGGGGGCAAGCGUUAUCCGGAUUUACUGGGUGUAAAGGGAGCGUAGACGGCGGUGCAAGCCAGAUGUGAAAGCCCGGGGCUCAACCCCGGGACUGCAUUGGAAACUGACAGGCUGGAGUGUCGGAGAGGCAGGCGGAAUUCCUAGUGUAGCGGUGAAAUGCGUAGAUAUUAGGAGGAACACCAGUGGCGAAGGCGGCCUGCUGGACGAUGACUGACGCUGAGGCUCGAAAGCGUGGGGAGCAAACAGGAUUAGAUACCCGAGUAG
rnacentral:rRNA from 1 species